GAUGAACGCUGGCGGCGUGCUUAACACAUGCAAGUCGAACGAUAAGUGGAGACGGAAACCUUCGGGCGGAAGACUUUAUUUCGAGUGGCGGACGGGUGAGUAACGCGUGGGUAACCUGCCUCAUACAGGGGGAUAACAGUUGGAAACGACUGUUAAUACCGCAUAAGACCACAGCACCGCAUGGUGCGGGGGUAAAAACUCCGGUGGUAUGAGAUGGACCCGCGUUCGAUUAGCCAGUUGGCGGGGUAACGGCCCACCAAAGCGACGAUCGAUAGCCGAUCUGAGAGGAUGACCGGCCACAUUGGGACUGAGACACGGCCCAAACUCCUACGGGAGGCAGCAGUGGGGAAUAUUGCACAAUGGGGGAAACCCUGAUGCAGCGACGCCGCGUGAGUGAAGAAGUAUUUCGGUAUGUAAAGCUCUAUCAGCAGGGAAGAAAAUGACGGUACCUGAGUAAGAAGCCCCGGCUAACUACGUG
rnacentral:rRNA from 1 species